UCCGGCCCUGGAUCUGCUGGCAACCCAGAAAUGUGUCUCGAGUCCAUCUCUUACUGUCAGGCCCCGCGGUGAUACAGGGGCAAACAACAAUAGAAGAAACAAACACAUCCAAUACCCUUGCUAAAUUAAAAGCGGCUGGAUUCCCAAAUUUCUAACAGUCCAUUCACCAGAGAAAAGUUUACAGCCAUUUGCCCCUGUCCUAUCUCUACAUACCUUUGUCAAAUGGAGGAGAUGGGCCAGCUGGACACGCCUUUCCCUGUGCUUCAAGGGCAAUGUCACAGCUUCUUGCAAUGUGUGCCACGUGCUUGCAGGCCAAUGUGUGGGCUGAGCUGCUGUCUUGAGAACACAAGGACCCCUUCUAUCACAGCAGUGGCAUGAGCAUGCUUAGGAAACUGAACAAUGUAGAAAUGGAUCUUUUCUAAUCAAAAUCACUCCCUGUCAAGGAUGACAGUGAAGAGGAAAUUCUGACAGGAUCAAUGCCUUUCCAGAAGACAUUUCAUCUCAAUGAUACAACAUAUAUUGUCCAAAGUACAUGAUAUCUAAUAUAGUUUGAUCAGCUUAAAUCAUAUACUUUGUUUCCAGACAAACAAGAUUGUUCUUAUUGGCAAUUGACAAAAAAAAGGUGUCGGUUUAAAAGAAAUUCUGUUAUGUCUACAUAAGUUAAGUGCAUAAUACUAGCUUUGUAUUAAUACACCUUUACUAGUGGAAUGGAAUUAAGCAAAAAGAUACAUUUAUCCUGUCUAUCAUUCAAUAAAUAGCUGACAAGCACUGCAGUGAA